UUCGGUAUGCCAAAUGACGGCAUUUACUCUGUUAAAUAUAUAUUUUCGAUUUGGGUAAACUACGUCUCAAAAUGAAAUAAAUUAGCAACAGUCAAAUCUCUACAAAAAAAAUCGUCACGAACAGGAUUCGAACCUGUGCGGGGAAACCCCAUUGGAUUUCGAGUCCAACGCCUUAACCUCUCGGCCACCGUGACUUGAUAAAAAGAAUAAGAGAGAUAGGACUAUAUGAGAAUUGGUUAGGGAAUGAAAGAAGAAAACUGGCCCAGUCAAGCUGUCCCUCCACAAAAAACUAAGCUCUACAAAUGUAAUUUGUCAGCUUACAACCACCUUAAAGCUAAAGAUUUGUGCAGGUUAUCAAGUUGGAAGGUAUGGGGGUCGACACAGCUUUCCUUGUCCACAACCCCGAGGACCCCAUACCAGUCAGCACAGCCUCAUCUGGGAGGGGAAAGGAAUUUAUUGAGGGCCAAGAUCUGAUCGCCAAGUUUUCUGUACACUUUUCUGAUACAUAUAUUUUAAAAAUAACUUUGGUAACACUUAACCUCAAGCAUACAGAUGUAGGAUCUUAAUUUGAUCACCCAGGUGCAGGACAACUUUUAUGCAAUGCAGGACAUUUUUAACUUAUAGUGUAUUUGAGGUUUGAAAAGGCUUCUGAAG
rnacentral:lncRNA from 8 species